rnacentral:rRNA from 1 species
AUGGUCAGCUGGCCGGACAUCUGCAAGCCUCGGGAGCAAGGUGGCCUUAGGAUCAUGUGCUCGAAGCGCAUGAACAUCGCCCUAUUAUCCCAUUGGCUUUGGCGGAUUGCCCAAGGGCAAGGUGGCCUCUGGUUAGACAUUAUCCGGAACAAAUACCUUCGUGGGCAGCCUCUCGCCUUCUGCCAGAGAACUGGCGUCUCCCAGUUCUGGCAGUCGAUCAUCCAGCUGCUCCCGGUGCUUCGCAUUGGGACAUCCAUCUCGGUUGGAUCUCGAGCUGCAACUCUGUUCUGGUUUGACCGCUGGGUGGGUGAUUCCCCUUCGCUGCACGCUUCCCAACCUCUUCUCCAUCGCCAUUGA